UCUGCAAGUUAUUUUAAUUAGACUAGGAAAUUUUGUUAUAGUUUAAAAAAUUUCUCCAAUACUGUGUUGCAACUAAUUUUGCUUUCUAGCCAAUUUUGUGCGCUUGGCAAGGAAAUUAUCAGCAAGAGCAUCUUCAAGUGAAACAUCAACUUUCACUUCCUCAAGGAUGAUUACUCUUCCACUUCAGAGGCCAUUUAUUGCCCCCCAAGUUAGACAUGUGAAGGAUCAAGCCAAAACUUUCCAAGCCUGGUGUUCCAAUCAACAAUGUGAGAACUGAUUUGAGAAGUUUGGCUUUUCUGAGUGCUGGGUCUUCUGAAGCCUGGAGUUUCCUUUGGACUCUUCCAAUCUACAUGCAUUUCAUCUUGGAAUGUGAGUUCUUGUAAGCAUGAUGUUUACUUGAGCCUCUACUAUUGCAAUCAGAGAAAUUGCUUUUAUUGCUUUGUUUUUUUGGAGGCAGUAAUAGAACUUCCUUUGGAAUGUGAAAUUUCU
rnacentral:lncRNA from 1 species